rnacentral:rRNA from 1 species
UGGGGAAUAUUGCACAAUGGGCGGAAGCCUGAUGCAGCGACGCCGCGUGAGGGAUGACGGCCUUCGGGUUGUAAACCUCUUUCAGUAGGGACGAAGCGUAAGUGACGGUACCUGCAGAAGAAGCACCGGCUAACUACGUGCCAGCAGCCGCGGUAAUACGUAGGGUGCGAGCGUUGUCCGGAAUUACUGGGCGUAAAGAGCUCGUAGGCGGUUUGUCACGUCGUCUGUGAAAUCCUAGGGCUUAACCCUGGACGUGCAGGCGAUACGGGCUGACUUGAGUACUACAGGGGGGACUGGAAUUUCUGGUGUAGCGGUAGAAUGCACAGAUAUCAGGAAGAACACCGAUGGCGAAGGCAGCUUACGGGAGUGUUACUGACGCUUAAGCUCGAAGGUGCGGGUAUCGAACAGG